AGAUAUCCAUCAGAGGUGGAGAGUUUGGUCCCUACUGCUUUGGGUAUUCAGAGAGUGCCUUCUUUUCUGCAAGUAGCGGAGAACAGCAAAGAGCGGAGGAUCCCAGACACAGAAUACACUUGUGAUGCAAGAUGAAUUCCUGAGGCAGGAGAUUUGCAGGGAAGAAUAAUGAUUAUUACUCACUAAGAUCACUAAGCAAGUAUUAUAUAUUUUUGGUGCAGUAGUGCCUGAAAGCCUCAAUCACACUCCUGUUUAUGAGCACACCUCAUACCUGCAGUGUGCGAACUUCUGAGGAGCAUCCUGUGCUCUGAAAAGACAAGGUAACUAGCAAACAAAACUUCCACUACUAUUGUCCACCUGGGAGGGAGCCUCAAAGACAUCCAGUGAGGACAGCUCUGUCUGCAGUGAUGGGGAUAUGCAGGGCUGUGAAGGAGCAAGAUUCACGACGGGAACAGUUCCAGGCAUGGAGGAAGAUAUACAGCAAUUGACAGGACUUUAUUAUACGGACUUUACAGGUUUUAUGUGCUUAUAAAUACACACAUUGUAUA